rnacentral:lncRNA from 1 species
GUGCACAUAAACAUUUUAUUGGAUAAACAGUUUGCAUUUCAUUGAAUAAAUAAUUUGCAUUUCAUUGAAACAUUUAGAGCUUAAUAACUCAAUCAUACUUUAUACAUUUGGAAAGUAAGCCCACCUGGAUAGGCAAAGCCUGAAGAUCAUAAUCACAUAACUUGUCUUGGGAAAGCAGCGCUAAUCCCCUUGGUCCACAAAGCCUACAAGAAAUUCUAUUCUUAAUAGGUCUCCUUGAAGCUAAUCUUAAGUCGUGGUGAAGUGCUUAACAUUCUAUGAUUCACUUAGCCGGGUUUUCAAAAUUUAAUGAAUAAAUAAUUGAAAACAUUUCUCUUGAGUUAAGAACACCAACAAUAUUCUUACUCAUCUUUCUUUAAUAAUUGGAAUUAUAAAUAAAACCAAUUAAAUCAUAAAUACUCUUAUUGCAAAAUAAAUGCAAUUUCAUGUCAUGCUUAGCAUAUAAUAAGUAAUUUACUUAAAAUAUGCACAUAAUAAUAAUUUAAUAUUAUUAUGAAAAUUAUCCUUUAAAUAAAUUAAUCAAACUAAUUAAUAGUUCAAUUAAUAAAACAUAAGACAGCCCAAUUUAAUUAAUUGAAGGCAGUCCAAAGUCCUUAAAUAAAAUAAGGGCCCAACACAUUUAUUUAAAACAAUGGCCCAACUGAAAAUUUAAAACAAAAAAAUCGGCCCACAAGCUCAAGCCCAACAGCAGCCCUAGCCCAACCCCUUCCUAUUACCCCUUUCUCUUCCAUCAGUCACGCACAACACAUAUCAGUCACUCUCAUUCUCUCGGACUGAUCGGCUCUCUCUCAAUUGCCCAUUUCCGGCGACUGCAGCAUCAGAAGCCGUUCUCUUCCCCGCCCCUGGCGAGUAGCAGCGAUAAGCUGCCGCUCCACCUUUCUCCUACUCAGACCCAGCACACCCCUCUCCUCUCCACUCAGAUCGGCCGACGACAGCCAAAGAAGUGGACUGCCGCCGCGCCCUGCCAUCUCCCUUGAAACUCUCUUCUCAGAUCGAAACCCAUACCUCACUCCGUCCGUGGCCGGACGACAGCGGCAGGGCCGCCGCGCCCUGGCCUCCCUCUGUGCAACCCUAACCACCACCCCAGCCCCUGUUCCCGAUGGCCGACGACCCCCAGGCCGCCGCCGACCUCUCCUUCCCCACUCUUCACCGUGGCUAGGCAGCAACGGCAGAGCUGCAGUGCCUGGCCUCCCUCUCUGAAACUUCCGGCGAUAAGCAGCAGCAGGAGCCGCCCGUCGGAGCCCUAGGCUCGGCCUUCCCUGACUGACUCUCUUCUCAAAACCUCGCCGGAGCAACGGCGAUGAGCCGCCUCACAGCCCCCGACCUUCCCUCAUCUCCGGUCAGACCGACAGUGGCACCGAGCCACCACCGUCGACUUUCUGCCCAGACUCGACAGACAAACCAAGUUCAAGACUCCAUUUUUUGUGAAUGUAUGUAUGCUUCGUGAAUCUUGGUUGGGCAGCUGAGGUUUGUGUGUUUGUGAAAGUAAAUGGAGGUGCCUUAUUCAAUACUGUAAAAGCAAAGUAUUAUAGUUUGAAGAAAAUGAAACCUUGUGAUGAUUGUGUUGAGGAGGAGCUCACUGAAUUUGGGGUGUGUGGUCUGAAAGUGUGCAGCUGUUAAGGCUCUGUAACUCCAGUUCGUUCCCCUUUCUUUUAGAAGAGAGAACUUCGUGAAUUGAGACGUAUUUGUGUGAAGAUGGAAGCAUGAAAAUUGGGCUGCACUAUAGUCUUGAGUUGGCAGAGGAAGCAUGGCUUAAAGUUGGAGCUAGUAGCAUAGUGUAGGGUGGCUGAUGGGAGAGGUGAGUGUAAGUGAGUUGAGUGAGGAUUUGACAUUUAAAAUCCCUCGGGAUUAAAAUUGUCGAAACUGUAGAAAUUCUUUCGGGUUUGCUAAUUAAAAGCUCGUGAAAAAUGCUUGAAUGCUAAAUUAAAUAAAUAUGCAAUGCAUAUAAACUUAAUAACUAAAUUUACAAAUGCUUUUGUAAUUCAUUUUUGUUGGAAUUAAAAUAAAUUCUUUUUCUUAAUCCGACGUGAAUCAUCUUAAAUCUAAGUUCAAAAUUAUUCUAAACUUAGCUCGAGGAAACGGGGUAUUACAGUACCUUUGUACUCAGCCCUGCAUAUAUUUCUAAAUGUGUAGGUUGAGCAGUAGCCGAUGGUGAUGAAGUGACGAGCGAGAUCUUCUUUUGUCUUGAUGUUAUAUGUUUUGAAAAACUCUUGGGUACAUGUCUUCAUACAUGUAAUCAGAAACCUUAUUACUUCCGCUGCGUACUCAAAGAAGUCUUAUGUUAUUUUGGCUAAGUCGGAGAUAUCCGAACUUACUAGUUCAAUCGAAUCAUUGCAACUAAACCUCCUUUAUAUAUAUUAGAUGUUUCCUUCGUUAUCAAUGAAAAGUACGAUCCUUCUCUAUUUAUUCACUCCCCUUUUCUACUCCCGCUUCUUAUCUCCCUCCCUUAGUCAUGGUUUCCCGGUUUAAUUAUCCUUAAUUAAGUCCGGUCGUGACAGAGUGGUAUCAGAGCAGUUCAUUUGCUCUGAACUCAAGAGUUAACUAAUUUUUCCUAGUAUGAUUACUAGUAUGUAAGAGUCAGUCGAUCAAAACUCAACACUUCACCACAUCGCCAUGCUCAACAAGGGAAACAAACUAGCAGAAACACAGUUACUUUUCUCUGCAGGUCGAAGUGAUAUGUAAGCUACAAGGAAGGGGAAAUCAAACGAUAAAUCGACAAACAAAAUAAAAUGAGGAGUUAUUCUUGCGACAGAACCCGCCUACCUUCAAUGGGACAGGAGACCCGGCAGAAGCUGAGACUUGGGUACGCGCUAUUGAGCGAAUUUUCAACUUCUUGUGUUGCACCGACCAAGUGCGCCUGACUUGUGUGUCCUUUUAGUUAACUGGGUCAGCUGAUUUCUGGUGGGAAACAAGGAUGAAAAUGAUGACAGCAGAGCAGUUAGAAAACCUGACUAGGGAACAAUUCAAAGCCGGUAUAUAUGACAAGUAUAUACCCAAGAGCUACCGCAAGAAGAAGGAAGCUGAAUUUUACAAUUUGAAAUAAGGAAAGACGUCGGUAACUCCAUACGACAGGAUGUUCUGCGAUAUGUCUAGAUAUGCGCCGGAACAAGUUGACACAGAUAAGAAGAUGGCUGAAAAGUUUUGUACCGGUCUGAGGCACGAGAUUGGGAUGGCUUUGGCAAGCCACGGAGGAUUGUCCUACACUGAGUCGCUCAGCCGAGCGUUAGACAUUGAGGCAGCCAUGCCAGGAGAAAGACCUGCAACUGUACCUGCGCCAGCACCUCCACAUGAUCAAAAUCAUAAUCAGAAUUUCAAAGGAAAGAGGAUAUGGGACAACAGUAACCCGAACCAAGGCGAGAGGAGACCAUGGCAGGGACAUGCCUUCCAGUCACAGGGCUAUGAAAGCCAGGGCGCACCGAAAAAGAUGGGAAAUAACCAACAGAGGACCCCACCUUGCCCCAAGUGUAACAAAAAUAACGAGGGAAUCUGUAAGGCUGGGAGUGAUAGUUGUUAUAACUGCAACCAAAAAGGGCACUACGCCAAUCGGUGCCCGAAUAAGCAACACGAAACGGGUUCAAAGCCGAACCCGCCGAUUCAGGCUCCGCACCUGCGAACAAUCCAAGCUUAUCCUCAACCAAACCCAGGGCAGCAACCGCAACAGUAUCAGCAGCCCCAGUUCCAGCAGUUACAAUAGUAUCAGCCACAACAACAACAGCCGUUUCAGCAACAGCCUCGUCGACAACAGAAACAACAGGGAGGGCCUCGCGAUGCUAGAGCUUAUGCUAUGGGGCAAAAGUUGCCCGAGGACAACCAGGGAAACCUGUCAGGUAUGGGCAUGCUACUCAAUACCCCUAUCGUACUUCUGUUUGAUACAGGCGCAUCACAUACUUUCAUUGUGUCACAUCCCAAUUCUUGAAUGAAUAAAUCUAAUCGAGGUGCAACUAAUUCAUAGAAAUAAACAAGGAACAACCUUUUUAAAACCCGAAUAAUAAGAUAACAAGCCGGGCUAGGCCCCUUUGGAUCACAAGUUUUGUUCAAUAUUUCUGACAACCGACGUUCAUUAACACAAAACUAGAAAUUUUAAAUUGAAGCUCGACAUGAAGUCAUCUUAAGUUAAGAAAACGAAAGAUGUAUAAGAGUUAUUACCACAGCGGAAGUCUAUAUAGAAAUUGAACCCUAGCCUCAGCUCAGUCCCGUCAGCACCGGCCAGCCAACCUGAAAACAUUUGAAAGUAUUUUUGGGCUAAGUACUAAUGUACUCAGUGGGCAUGCAUUUUCAUAAACAUUUCAUAUUUUCUUAAAGACAGUUUAUCCAAUCAUACUUGACAUAACUUAGAAGGUUUUAAAUUGAAAGAACUUCUAAGCAUGUUAAAAUAAUUUCUUUCAUUUGUGCGCACAUGUCACACUCCCUUUCUGUUACUCGCUGUGAUCCCGGACCUUUUAGCCACCGACGGAUCCAUUUCUCCCAUUGCACUUGCCCUGAGGACGUAACUCAGACAAGUUGAAUUGACCUCGGGACGCUACCCAGGCAGGCCCUUACAUUACAUGCUUCGGAACACAUCCAGCAAGCACCCUUAUAACGCCUCUUAGUUAGUGCCCGAUGGAGAUCAACCCACCGAGUCAGCUAACGGUGUACACAAUUCUCAAAUAACGUGUUAGGCCAUAAGAGAACCUCGAUCGAUCCAUGAAUUGUAAGCCUUAAACAGAGUAGAGUGCACAUAAACAUUUUAUUGGAUAAACAGUUUGCAUUUCAUUAAAUAAACAAUUUGCAUUUCAUUGAAACAUUUAGAGCUUAAUAACUCAAUCAUACUUUAUACAUUUGGAAAGUAAGCCCACCUGGAUAGGCAAAGCCUGAAGAUCAUAAUCACAUAAACUCGUCUUGGGAAAGCAGCGCUAAUCCCCUUGGUUCAUAAAGCCUACAAGAAAUUCUAUUCUUAAUAGGUCUCCUUAAUCUUAUCUUAAGUCAUAGUGGAAGUGCUAGACAUUCUUUGAUUCAUCACGCCGAGUUCUCAAAAUUUAAUAAUAAAGAUUGAAAACUAACUUUUGAGCUAAGGACACCAACAAUAUCCUUACUCAAUUUUCUUUAAUAAUUGGAUUUAUAAAUAAACCAAUUAAAUCAUAAAUACUUUUAUUGCAUGAUGCAAAUGCAAUGUCAUGUCAUGCUUAGCAUAUAAGUAAUUACUUAAAAUAUGCACUUCAUAAUAAUAAUAUUAUUAUGCAAAUCAUCUUUAAAAUAAUUAAUCAAAUUAAUUAUAGUCAAAUUAAUAAAUUAAUUAGACUUAGGUAAAUAAUUAAAUAAGUCCAAUACCUUGAAUUAAAAGUCAAGCCCAAAUUAAUAAGAGCAACUCAUACGUUGAUUUAAAAUAAUUUACAGCCCAAACAUUUGCAUCCAAGUUUUAAAUAAAACAAAGAGGCCCAUCUAAAAUAAAUUUGCAGCCCAUCAUUGGACUCAAAAUAAUUAGGGCAAAGCCCAAACCUUUUCUUCUCUUUAAAAAAAUACCCACACACACAAAACACAUGAACACACACACAAACACACGCACACACUCACACACUCAGCGCCGCAGCACCCCUCCCCCCAUUCUUUAUUCUCCGGCGGCGGUAGCGUCGCCGGCACCGCGUGCCCGGUCGUCGCCGCCCUCUCGCCCCUCGACCUCUCCCCUGUCUCUCUCCAGCUCCGACGAAAUGUCAGCGACAGCCACCACUCCACCUCACACCUCUCACUGCUCUGCCCUUCUUCCUUUUUUUCUUCAACGGCGAGGAGCGUCGCCGUUCCCACUGCUCUGGCGACGACACAGCCGUAGGCCGCGCCUCCGCCCUGCAAAAACCUUAGCUUCUCUAAAGCACUGACAGCCCUCCUCUCCUUCUCUCGAUUUUGGCAAGCGAAGUGGCCGGUGAGGCCAACCACGGCACACCCAGCACCAUCUUUCUCUCAAUGGCUCAACGGCAGUCACCGCCGCUCGGAUUUCAGACGAUAGUGCCGCCCCUGUCUCCCUCUCUCUCUCACCGUCCUCGGCCCGGCAGCAGCGGCAGAGCCGCCGUGCCGUGCCUCUCUCUGUCUCGCAGCCCUCUCUCUCACCUCUACACAUUCCGGCCGACAGUGGCGCCGAGCCACCGCCUUCUCCAGCCCGACUCUACUCUGGUGACAGCAGCGGAAGCUACCACUACCGGUCUCCCUCCAUUCUUCCCUCUGAGGGGACAACUCACAGCCAAACCACCUUCCAGCUCAAGUCACACAAACACAGGAGCCCCAACAUAAAGGAAAAAUUAUGCUUCAAGACUCUACUUUUUAUUUCACUAAUUCAUGCUUUUCAUAUAUGUAUGCAAACAUUGGUAUAUGCGAAUAUAAAUAUACAUUGUAUCCGAGUAAAGUAUGAGGCAUAAUUGAAAGAUUGAAGUGAGGUGGAACCUUGAGUGAGUUUGAAUGUGGCUGAUAGUUGGAUUUGAUUUUCUGUUGUAUGGUUGAAUCUCAGUGGGCGGCAGUUCUUGCAUUUGAGUUUCCUUUUUGAGAAAAUUAUAUGUGUGAAAUGGAAGAACUUUUCUUGUCAAAGUA